rnacentral:tRNA from 2 species
ACCUCUUUAGUAUAAUUAGUACUUUUGACUUCCAAUCAAAUAGCUUUGGUAUCAGAUCCAAAAAGAGGUA